CGCUAUAUGUUGCAUAUUGCGAUGCUUUUUUGAACCACCACUGUACAUGGGAUCUAUUGCGGCAUUCCAUUGGACCGCCAUAGUAAUUCUAGUCUUUUGUGGUGUACUACAGCGGCAGUAUAUAGAACCGCCACAAUAUGUGUUUUAGCGGCGUUAACUUAGAUAUAGUGGCACUCCAAAAACCUACCGCAAUAAAUAUAGCAUUUUGCGGGGAUGCUAUAGCGGCAGUAUGGAAAACUGCUACAAUAUGUAAUUGUAGCAGCGUUGAGAUGACUGCUGCAAUAAGUACCUAUUUUGCGGUGCUUUUUCUUAGUUAUAGCAGCGGGUUAGACCGUCGCAAUAGACCUUUAAAUUUCCCUCUAUAGCCCCAAAAUUUCCCUCUAUUUUUUUGGGCCUUCCCAUUUAGGUUUUCACUUCAAUUCCGUUACACACGCGCUCUCUCUCUCUCUCUCUCUCUCUCUCUCAAAUCCUCCAUAACCAAGCUUCCGCAAGCUUCGUCUGCUGCCAUCAACUCCAUCUUCGCCGCCGUCGCAGCCGCCUCGCAUCCUCGCCAUCACCACUCUCUUCAAGUCCGACUCCAACCCAGGCCUAGGCCUAGGCCCAGUCUUCCCAUUGCCUCGCAUUCUCUCCUGCCGAUGGGUCAGGUAUCCAAUGGGUUCCACCUUCAGAUCCAUUUGGUUUUGAAAUUUGGUUCGCCAAAGAUCCCACUCCCUGGAGACUAACUCAUCUCGACCCACUCAUCUCGCCGGAGUUCCACUAUAAGUUUUUUUUUUUUUUUUUGGUUGAUUAAUGAGUGUCAUUGUUUUUAUUUUAUCUAUCUGCUUCUUCUUCAUCAAAUGGAUAUUAUGUGUAUUGGUAUUUGUGGGAAUUGUAUAUAUGUAGUGAGUUGGAUGGAGAGAUUUGUGAGAACUGUAGUUAUGCCAUAUACAUUGAAAAGGAUAUUAUGUGUUUUGGUGUUGCUAGGGAAGAGCAAUACACAGAAAAUUAUAAUGUAUAAUUUUUUUAUUUUUUAUUUAUAUAUAUAGGAGGACCUCAGAUAGCUCUUAGAGUUUGGAGAGACUAUGGCAAGGCAUUCUUUUUUGUCCUUGUAGGAAUUUCUAACAUGUUGUUUUUCUUGAGACUGAAGAGGGACUCCUUUUUUCACUUGUGGUCUAAAAGCAGGUAAUCCGUGAAUACUAUUGUUUGUUGUUAGGACUUAUAGGAUUAUAUAUUUUCUGAACAAAAGUAGAGGAAAACCACCUUAAAUUGGAGAUGAAAAUAUAUAUUGGCUCUUCAUUUCCAUUUGAUUUGAAUUAGCAAACUAGCUAGCUUGUGCUAAGAAAAGUUAACAAAUUAAAAGGUCCCUAUAGAAAAACAAAGUCUUGAUACUGAUUGGUUCUUUUCUCUAUGUUUUUGGUGAAAAUUUUCUAAUCAUGUUCAUGUUUCAUGUAUCAUUCUGUCUGGGAAUUCAACAAAUGUGAUUGGAAGCUUCAUUGUAUUUCUAUAAACAAUCAAUUUUCUGAAAUCAACUUUUGAGUUGAAGAUUGCAAAAAGAAGAGGCAUUAUAAGUUCAUGUGACCAAAGUAAGUGAAGUUGGUGAAAGACUUAAGGUACUCUCUGUAGUGAUGAUGAGUGUAGUUAAUACUUUUGUUAUCACUCAUUAUAUUUUGCCUUAAUGAUUAGAGUUUCAGAACCUCUCUUUAGUUAGUUUCUUCUCCUUAAAAUUAUAUCUUAAUGUUUGUGUGUUUUUUCUUAAAGAAUUCAUUAUGUUCUAAUACAAUUAUUUGAGAUUUGGCUGUGUUAAGAUUGGACUAAUUGUUUGUAUUGUUGGUGCAUGUCAACUAUUAAUUGAUUGGCUUUCUACAACAUAUUGGAGUUCGUUAUGGUAUUAUUAGAAGUGGAAAGAAAGGUGAUUUAUCACGAAUUCUAGAUGAGCUUGAAUCUCACCUUCCCCAAGGGUAGAUGGAAGGUGAGAUUCAAGCUAAUGACCUCCACCUCAAGAAGUAUGGUACUACUUUUUGGUAAAGCAAGUGUAUGAUGUUAUUUUAACUUGAAUUAACUUUGUGCAUAUUUAAGCUCUCUUUUUCUUGCUGCAAGACCAUUGCCUAGUUGAUUUGUUUCAUGGAUGGCAGGAUGAAGUUUUGGGACUUCCACCCUUCAAUGUAUCCUUUACAUUUUAAGGUUAUGACUUUACUAUGGAAGAUUUGCUCUAAUUCUCAUAAAUAACUAUUCUCACGUUAUUGAGUAAUCUUGGUUUGUAUGCACUUACUGAAUGAGCAAGAUGAAAAGUCCUAAAUCUCUAAGCUUUUCUUGUCAUUCUAUUCAAUCCAUUUAUAUCCACUUAUUGAGUAAUCUUGGUUUGUAUGUAGGAAGUUCCUCUAGUCCAAUAAUCUCCAACUCUCCAAAAAUCAUCAGCUGCAUCCCAUCAACCCAAGCAACUUAUAAGUUUAAUGUUGGUGUUCGAUGACUUUUUGUGUACAAAGAACUACAUUUGAACAACCGCAUUUUUUGUAAAUGUUGAAGGAUAUUUUUAAACACUUUGAAACUUUGAUUAUGGUAUUAGCUUAAUUUAAGCGGUUGUUUUAUUCAAAGGACCACAUCUUUUUUUUGUUAA